GCCAGUAUGGCUCAGUGGUAGAGCAUAGGGCCUGCUCACACACCAAAGAGUCUGGGGUUCAAUUCCCCAUUAAAGGCA
rnacentral:tRNA from 1 species